GGGUCAGUGAUAAGUUGUUAUCGUGAAGAGAAAUGAUGACGCAAAAAUUAAGUUCAGUUGGUUACGCUGAGGUCC
ensembl:snoRNA SNORD115 Small nucleolar RNA SNORD115